rnacentral:rRNA from 1 species
CUCAAUGAAAUUAAAUAGCCGCAAACAUUUGUGCUAAGGUAGCAUAAUCAUUUGUUUUUUAAUUAAAAACUAGAAUGAAAGAUUUAACAUUUUAAUUUCUUUCUAAAAUAUAAAAAUUUAAUUUAUUCUAAAUAUAAAAAAAUAUUUUUACAUAAAAAAGACGAUAAGACCCUAUUGAACUUAACUAUAGUUAAACUGGGGCAGUUAAUUAAAUACAAUUUUAAUUUCAACCUAAAAAAUUACCUAACACAGUUAAUAUUAUCAAGUUACCAUAGGGAUAACAGCGUAAUAAUUUUCUUAAGAUCUUAUUUAAAAAACUGUUUGCGACCUCGAUGUUGAAUUAAUAUUCUAUUGAAUGCAAUAAUCCAAUAAGAAAGUCUGUUCGACUU